rnacentral:rRNA from 1 species
GACGUAGGGCGCGAGCGUUGUCCGGAUUUAUUGGGCGUAAAGAGCUCGUAGGCGGCUUGUUGCGUCGACUGUGAAAACCCGCGGCUUAACCGCGGGCUUGCAGUUGAUACGGGCUAGCUAGAGUGUGGUAGGGGAGAUCGGAAUUCCUGGUGUAGCGGUGAAAUGCGCAGAUAUCAGGAGGAACACCGGUGGCGAAGGCGGAUCUCUGGGCCAUUACUGACGCUGAGGAGCGAAAGCGUGGGGAGCGAACAGG